CCCCAGGACUGGCACAAAAAGAAGGGGGGAGGAGGAGGAGUGUCAAUAAAGUCAAGCAAAAAUCACCAAUGGCUACUAAAAACUAUGGAUGAAAAAUGAGGAGAGGGCUGAAGGUAAUGCUCAGUGUGAUAGUGUUUUCCUAACUUGGUUUCCAAACAGUAAAGG